GGGAGGCAGCAGUGGGGAAUAUUGCACAAUGGGCGCAAGCCUGAUGCAGCAACGCCGCGUGAGGGACGACGGCCUUCGGGUUGUAAACCUCUUUUAGCAGGGAAGAAGCGAAAGUGACGGUACCUGCAGAAAAAGCGCCGGCUAACUACGUGCCAGCAGCCGCGGUAAUACGUAGGGCGCAAGCGUUAUCCGGAAUUAUUGGGCGUAAAGAGCUCGUAGGCGGUUUGUCGCGUCUGCUGUGAAAUCCGGAGGCUCAACCUCCGGCCUGCAGUGGGUACGGGCAGACUAGAGUGCGGUAGGGGAGAUUGGAAUUCCUGGUGUAGCGGUGGAAUGCGCAGAUAUCAGGAGGAACACCGAUGGCGAAGGCAGAUCUCUGGGCCGUAACUGACGCUGAGGAGCGAAAGGGUGGGGAGCAAACAGGCUUAGAUACCCUGGUAGUCCACCCCGUAAACGUUGGGAACUAGUUGUGGGGUCCAUUCCACGGAUUCCGUGACGCAGCUAACGCAUUAAGUUCCCCGCCUGGGGAGUACGGCCGCAAG
rnacentral:rRNA from 1 species